rfam:Myotis brandtii contig257587, whole genome shotgun sequence.
GCCAGUGUGGCUCAGUGGUUGAGCGUCAGCCUAUGAACCAGGAAGUCAUGGUUCGAUUCCUGGCAAUGACA